rnacentral:rRNA from 1 species
AUUGAACGCUGGCGGCAGGCCUAACACAUGCAAGUCGAGCGGAGCGGCGGACGGGAGAGUAAUGCCUAGGAAUCUGCCUGGUAGUGGGGGAUAAAGUCCGGAAACGGGCGCUAAUACCGCAUACUAUCAGAUGAGCCCAGGUCGGAUUAGUUAGUGGGUGGGGUAAUGGCCUAACAAGGCGACGAUCCGUAACUGGUCUGAGAGGAUGAUCAGUCACACUGGAACUGAGACACGGUCCAUACUCCUACGUGAGGCAGCAUUGGGGAAUAUUGGACAAUGGGCGAAAUCCUGAUCCAGCCAUGCCGCGUGUGUGAAGAAGUUCUUCGGAUUGUAAAGCACUUUAAGUUGGGAGGCGUUACCAACAGAAUAAGCACCGGCUAACUUCGUGCCAGCCGCCGCGGUAAUAC